AGAGUUUGAUCCUGGCUCAGAUUGAACGCUGGCGGCAUGCUUUACACAUGCAAGUCGAACGGCAGCACGGACUUCGGUCUGGUGGCGAGUGGCGAACGGGUGAGUAAUACAUCGGAACGUACCCAGUAAUGGGGGAUAACUAGUCGAAAGAUUAGCUAAUACCGCAUACGCCCUACGGGGGAAAGAGGGGGAUCGCAAGACCUCUUGUUAUUGGAGCGGCCGAUGGCUGAUUAGCUAGUUGGUGGGGUAAAGGCCUACCAAGGCGACGAUCAGUAGCGGGUCUUAGAGGACGAUCCGCCACACUGGAACUGAGACACGGUCCAGACUCCUACGGGAGGCAGCAGUGGGGAAUCUUGGACAAUGGGCGAAAGCCUGAUCCAGCAAUGCCGCGUGCGUGAAGAA
rnacentral:rRNA from 1 species